ACGAACGCUGGCGGCGUGCUUAACACAUGCAAGUCGAGCGGUAAGGCCCUUUCGGGGGUACACGAGCGGCGAACGGGUGAGUAACACGUGGGUGACCUGCCCUCAGCUCUGGGAUAAGCCUGGGAAACCGGGUCUAAUACUGGAUAUGACUCCAUGACGCAUGUUGUGGGGUGGAAAGCCUUGUGCGGCUGAGGAUGGGCCCGCGGCCUAUCAGCUUGUUGGUGGGGUGAUGGCCUACCAAGGCGACGACGGGUAGCCGGCCUGAGAGGGCGACCGGCCACACUGGGACUGAGACACGGCCCAGACUCCUACGGGAGGCAGCAGUGGGGAAUCUUGCGCAAUGGGCGAAAGCCUGACGCAGCGACGCCGCGUGAGGGAUGACGGCCUGU
rnacentral:rRNA from 1 species